AGAUUAAACAUAAGAGUUUGAUCCUGGCUCAGAUUGAACGCUGGCGGCAUGCUUUACACAUGCAAGUCGAACGGCAGCACGGAGAGCUUGCUCUCUGGUGGCGAGUGGCGAACGGGUGAGUAAUGCAUCGGAACGUACCGAGUAAUGGGGGAUAACUGUCCGAAAGGAUGGCUAAUACCGCAUACGCCCUGAGGGGGAAAGCGGGGGAUCUUAAGACCUCGCGUUAUUUGAGCGGCCGAUGUUGGAUUAGCUAGUUGGUGGGGUAAAGGCCUACCAAGGCGACGAUCCAUAGCGGGUCUGAGAGGAUGAUCCGCCACAUUGGGACUGAGACACGGCCCAAACUCCUACGGGAGGCAGCAGUGGGGAAUUUUGGACAAUGGGGGGAACCCUGAUCCAGCCAUGCCGCGUGUCUGAAGAAGGCCUUCGGGUUGUAAAGGACUUUUGUUAGGGAAGAAAAGCUUGGUGCUAAUACCACCUAGUGCUGACGGUACCUAAAGAAUAAGCACCGGCUAACUACGUGCCAGCAGCCGCGGUAAUACGUAGGGUGCGAGCGUUAAUCG
rnacentral:rRNA from 1 species